rnacentral:rRNA from 1 species
CCUACGGGAUGCAGCAGUGAGGAAUAUUGGUCAAUGGGCGCUAGCCUGAACCAGCCAAGUAGCGUGAAGGAUGACUGCCCUAUGGGUUGUAAACUUCUUUUAUAUGGGAAUAAAGUGCAGCAUGUAUACUGCUUUGUAUGUACCCUAUGAAUAAGGAUCGGCUAACUCCGUGCCAGCAGCCGCGGUAAUACGGAGGAUUCGAGCGUUAUCCGGAUUUAUUGGGUUUAAAGGGAGCGUAGGCGGGUUGGUAAGUCGGUUGUGAAAGUUUGCGGCUCAACCGGAAAAUUGCAGUUGAAACUGGCAGCCUUGAGUACAGUAGAGGUAGGCGGAAUUCGUGGUGUAGCGGUGAAAUGCUUAGAUAUCACGAAGAACUCCGAUUGCGAAGGCAGGUUGCUGGACUGUAACUGACGCUGAGGCUCGAAAGUGUGGGUAUCAAACAGGAUUAGAUACCCCUGUAGUC